UGAGCCAUGGCCGCUGAGCCUGCGCGUCUGGAGCCUGUGCUCCGCAAGGGAGAGGCCACAACAGUGAGAGGCCCGCGUACCACAACAACAAUAAAAAAAAGUGUUAGGCUGCUUUACCAGCUCCCACAGACCCCAGAGUCUGGCUGAGACAGAACAUACUUUUCUCCAGUGUUAUCAGCUGGUGUAAACAGUUUAGGAAAGAUAGAUGACCAGCCCAGUUGGGCGUAAGAACCUCUGAGAUACGAAAUUCCAGGGCUGUGUCUCCAGCCCUCAGGGAGGUCCUGGAAGGGCCUCAUCGUGGUACCUGCUUCUCGACCAUCACCCUCUGGAUCAGGUUUCUAAAUGAAAUCUCGUUCUCUCUUGUGUGAUCUGUACCUGGCCGAUUGAUACAGCAGCCGCUCACUGUAUGACUAGAUGAAAAUACAAAUUUAAAAUUAAAAACGCAGCUCCUUACAGUUGCACUCUCCACUUUUCAAGUGCUCAGCAGCCCGUGUCCAGUGGCCACUCUGCUGGGCCGCCCAGUUCCGGAACAUUUCUGCCUGAUCCAUAAUCUCUCCGGGUUUGUUUACCGACGCACAGAUGAUUGGAUCCUGUGUCUGCUGCCUUUGCAAGAGGCCAUGACGACUAGGUGGCCUAUUAAAAACAGGCCUUUUCACCUGCUCCCCAGGGGCUCUCUUUGGGGCAGAGCUGGUCCUUCUGUCCGCUCUGCUGUGCUCUUGGACUCCCACUCUGACUUGGUAGCGAUGAAACGCGGUAGCUUGUGUAACGGACAGGUUGUAGGCAGCGGAGGCAUCUGAGGGUGUACACCGCUGACAGUUGCAGCUUUUUCUUUGGCACUUUGCAGAGGAUACUGAAAUAUUACUUCAAAAGAUGAAGCGAUAGAAAUGGAAUACGAAUCAGUCAUUAUACCUCAUGAUGCGUCUGUGAACGCCCUGUACUUACUUUUGGGUUAUUACCGUCUUCAGCCCAAGGUUAGAUGCACGUUUACAGACAUGGAAAACUGAACAUCCAGAAGAGUCAGGGUGACUGGUUGAGAGGCUCUGAAAUGACGGAUGGCAGCGCCUCGUUCAGGAAGUGCACGAACCUUGUGGCCUUUGAUGAUUUUUAAAAGCCAAUUAAUAUUUUCUUGUGGCCUUUAUUAAUUAGCAUUUUCCAUUAUUCUCCAGAUCAGAACAUAGUAACCUAUUGGUACGUCUUAAACAGCACACAGGUGACGGUGGUACUUGUCUCAUCAACGGAGUUCUGAUGGAGGGACACCUACAUGCUGCUGAUCCGUGAGGAUGAGAGGGGCACAGAGCAGUGGACGGGACUCCUACCGUCCCCUCCCUGGAUGAACGAAUGCCACCCGGAAGGAUGGGAAAGGACGCAGUACAGCCCAGGCGGCCCGGCUCGGGGAGCGUCACCCCUGGCCUGCCCAUCCUGCCGCUUCUCCGCCGUUGCCCCAACCGCGCCCAGCCACGAAGACCCCACGACACCGUCUGAAGGCUUUGGGUUUCAUCAGAGCUCUUCCUUCAGGACUCGGCUCAAAUGCUUGCCUCCAAGAAGCCACUUCUGAUGCUUCCCAGGAGCCUGAGCCAGGGCCUUCCCCGCCUCCUGUCACCCUGCACCUUUUCCACAGCCCCAAUAAACAGCUCUCACUGGACUCAG